rnacentral:sRNA from 1 species
GCCAGGUGUGGUGGCGCACGCCUGUAGUCCCAGCUACUCGGGAGGCUGAGGCAGGAAGAUUGUUUGUGCCCAGGAGGCGGAGGUUGCAGUGAGCCGAGGCACUACAGCCUAGGCAACAAAGCGAGUCCCUGUCUUUA